rnacentral:rRNA from 1 species
UACGUAGGGUGCAAGCGUUGUCCGGAAUUAUUGGGCGUAAAGCGCACGUAGGCGGUUUGUUAAGUCGGAUGUGAAAGCCCUUGGCUCAACUAAGGAAGUGCAUCCGAAACUGGCAGGCUGGAGUACUAAAGAGGGUCGCGGAAUUCCCGGUGUAGAGGUGAAAUUCGUAGAUAUCGGGAGGAACACCGGUGGCGAAGGCGGCGACCUGGGUAGAUACUGACGCUGAGGUGCGAAAGCGUGGGGAGCAAACAGG